AGAAAUGCCUCCGUGAGAUCCAACUGUAAGGCAUUUUCUCAAUUAGUGAUAAAGGGAGAAAGGCCCCUUGUGGGUGGGACCAUCUCUGGGCUGGUAGUCUUC
rnacentral:miRNA from 1 species